GACCCGCUCACCCCGCCGCUCCGCCCGUCCCGCUCGCCCCCUUCCCAGCCGCUCACCCCGCCCGUCCCGCUCGCCAUGGCCGAUGACCACGCCACCAGAGACCGCGGACCUUGGCGCAGGCUCGUGCUCCCGAGCGGUGGUCCCUCCUCGUCGCCACCCCUCUCCUCUGCCCCGUGUCGGAUCCGAGGCAUGCGGGCACAGAGGCGAGCUUCUCCAGCGGUGCCCGCCUCCCUCUCGUCUCCUCAAUCCUCUUCAUAUCGUCCCGCGUUCUCGAUCUAUGCCGCCACGUGCUGUGGUUCUGGAUUGGGCACAGACUCCCGCCAUUGGAGAGCAGCGGCGGUGAGGUCUUCAGCUCGGGUACGAGGAGCAGGGGGGUGAGGUGGACGGUGUUGUGGGGAAGAAGUGAUUGAUGUGGCCGGCAGCGAGCGCCGGUGAGCGACGAGGAGGCCACCAUCUCUCCUCAUAUCCUCCCAGAUGCUCGAUUGGAGCGGGGGAUAGACGCCGCCACAAGCCACCGGGGAUGCCACUGCAUUGUCGUCGGCUGGACGAGGAAAACAGCAAGAUGCUGGCCUAUGCAUCGGACGUGGGCCGCUUCAGCUUUAGGGGAGAUUUGACGAUGGCGCAAGGUCCCCCACUUCCUUGUUGUGGCGCUGCAGCGUCAUGGGCCCUUCUGAAGGGAGGCACAUCGGAGGGUGGUAGCAGGUACGUCACUUGAUAACUAGCCUUGCUAAAACAACCAGUGGUUGUCGUGGCCUGAAGCAGCAAGUAUUGUGGAGAUUGAUGGACUAGGUGUUUGCAGCCGCAGUCCAUCAUGCUCUCGGUUGCUGACCUUGAGGUCCAGCCGCAGCUGCCCGUCGCUUAGGGGAUGCUUCUAAGCUGCAAUGCUCCAUGUCCGAUGCAAUAUGUUUCUGCUUUAUUGAAGAGGAGUAACUUGUGCCGGGAAAGAUUCCCGAAGGUGAUGUCAGAUCAUUGGUAAAUAACAAGGAAUCCUUAGAACCUGUCAUCCGGUAGUAUUUGUCUGCGAUAGACCUAGAUUGUAGGAUUGCAUGAGUUGGGGCUUGCGAUUGCCCAUUGUGGUGCACAGUACUGCCAGGGGUGGCUGUUUGUUUACUGCAGGGGGUGUUGAUCUGAUGUCCCAUUAUUUGAUUACAUGUUUGAUGCUCUCCAAAAAAUGCUACAAAUAAUCAUAAGAAACUUCUCGCGAUAGAUUUACAAUUAGGGAUAUUUCCAAAUGUUUACUUCUAAUUCAUUAGCACAUCCUCUGUUUUUUUAAUUAAUUGUUGCCUCCUGCUUUUUGUUUAUCUUAGUCUUCUGGUGCUUUUGGUGUAUGGGCAAAACAGGUCAGAGUACAAAGUGGUGAAUUGCAUUUCACAUGCCAAGAUAAACAAAGAAUAAAAAAAGAAAACAUGGUAUUCUCUAACACAAGAGCAUGAUACCUUGGGUCCAUUGGUGCAGACAAAGAGAUAAGAACUACUUAUGCUGCAAUAGUUUCAGUGGAAGUAUAGUCAGGUGUUUAAUUGUUUUUUACAGUUUUAGCUAAUUGGCUGGGUAUCCACUUUAUCUUUUGUGCUUGCACAUAUAAUCGAUUCUCUGGUCCUACUCGCAUGUUCUCUAAUUAUCUUGGAGUGCUGGCAAGUAAUUAGAACAUAUCUUGGUCCAUACUUGCAUUAGAAUAUGCCACAUAGAAGGAUGUGGCAUAUCUUGGAAUAAGAAUGGCCACACGAGCAUUCUGUCAUGAUAUUGUAAUGAGUGGUCGAUACUUGUGGCAGUGCUGCAAUGGUGCUAUGAUGCAUGUUUGCACAAGAUGCCUGUAAAUUAUUGAUCUUCGUCGUGCUUCCUGCUUACUAUUAGUUCAAUUGAGCCCAAUCUUUCUGGUCGUAUUGCUACAUGCUUAUGAUUAAUUUCUCUAUUUCUUGGUUGUUGUAUUGUAGGACAGGGAGGCAGAAGAGAGGGCAUGCCGGGGAAUGAAGGAGAACAAACAUAAGUAGUACUUGCCACUAUUCAGAUUUCUUUGUUGUUGCAUUACAGGAUUGUAGGGUGUUUAGAUUUUAAAUGCUGGCAUUGAUCGAGGUGUUAACUGGUUUUUAGUUCUGAUUAGAUGCGAAUCAGGUUUUAGUUAUGAUGAGAUGCAGAAAUUGUUGAGAGAGGGCAUGAAUGGUCUAUAUUUUAACCGUGCUUUUAUUCCCUUUUGCCCUUUCCAAAGGGACUGCUCUACCUUUUGUUGACAACAAUAUAUUUAUUAAGCUAGGAGGCUGCACCGGUCAUGAAUUUAAAUAGGCUUGCUACCACUUUAUUUUGGUCAACAUUUUUGGCCCUGAACAUGUUAUGUUUUGAUUUAUGAGGUUAAAGCAUACUACUGCUUGCAUAAAUAGCAACCUGUUGAAAGUAUUGUUGGGUCACUUUUAGGCUUCUAGCUAUUUUGAUUUUAUCAUAUACAACACUUUCAGACCAGUAAAUACAAUGACCUCCCUUUUACAUUAAAUAAUCGCGAUUGUUCUCAUACCAUUUGGCAUUUGCAGAGUGUCUCAGGCACACAAGCUAAAGGUUCACCAAGUUUAGGGAAAGAAAAGUUUCCCUAGACAGGUGGCGGCGGCGGUCAAGACAAGAGCGGCGCUGUGAGCGAUGGCCCUCGAUCGUCUUCCUUGUGGAAUCAGGUACGCUUCGUCCAUCGUGGCCCAUCGUGGGUGUUGGCGAGUGGUCGGAGGCGG